UCGGGAAUUUUGGGCAAUGGGGGAAACCCUGACCCAGCAACGCCGCGUGAAGGAUGAAGUAUUUCGGUAUGUAAACUUCGAAAGAAUAGGAAGAAUAAAUGACGGUACUAUUUAUAAGGUCCGGCUAACUACGUGCCAGCAGCCGCGGUAAUACGUAGGGACCAAGCGUUGUUCGGAUUUACUGGGCGUAAAGGGCGCGUAGGCGGCAAUUCAAGUCAUCUGUGAAAUCUCCGGGCUUAACUCGGAACGGUCAGAUGAUACUGCUUUGCUAGAGUGCAGAAGGGGCAAUCGGAAUUCUUGGUGUAGCGGUGAAAUGCGUAGAUAUCAAGAGGAACACCUGAGGUGAAGACGGGUUGCUGGGCUGACACUGACGCUGAGGCGCGAAAGCCAGGGGAGCAAACGGGAUUAGAUACCCUGUAGUCCCUGAGCGGGCUGGCAAGGCGCAU
rnacentral:rRNA from 1 species